rnacentral:rRNA from 1 species
CGCCUUGCCAGCCCGCUCAGAAACUUAAAGGAAUUGACGGGGCCCGCACAAGCAGCGGAGCAUGUGGUUUAAUUCGAAGCAACGCGAAGAACCUUACCUAGACUUGACAUCUCCUGAAUUACCCGUAACUGGGGAAGCUCUUCGGAGCAGGAAGACAGGUGGUGCAUGGUUGUCGUCAGCUCGUGUCGUGAGAUGUUGGGUUAAGUCCCGCAACGAGCGCAACCCUUAUCGUUAGUUGCUACCAUUAAGUUGAGCACUCUAGCGAGACUGCCCGGGUUAACCGGGAGGAAGGUGGGGAUGACGUCAAAUCAUCAUGCCCCUUAUGUCUAGGGCUACACACGUGCUACAAUGGUGAGGACAAAGAGACGCAAGACCGCGAGGUGGAGCAAAUCUCACAAACCUCAUCCCAGUUCGGAUUGCAGGCUGAAACUCGCCUGCAUGAAGCCGGAGUUGCUAGUAAUCGCGAAUCAGCAUGUCGCGGUGAAUACGUUCCCGGGCCUU